rnacentral:rRNA from 1 species
AGUCGAACGAUGAACCACUUCGGUGGGGAUAGUGGCGAACGGGUGAGUAACACGUGGGCAAUCUGCCCUGCACUCUGGGACAAGCCCUGGAAACGGGGUCUAAUACCGGAUACUGAUCCUCGCAGGCAUCUGCGAGGUUCGAAAGCUCCGGCGGUGCAGGAUGAGCCCGCGGCCUAUCAGCUAGUUGGUGAGGUAACGGCUCACCAAGGCGACGACCGUUAACCCCGCCUUAAGAAGGGGGCCACCCGCCCACCUUGGACUGAGGACACACGCCCAGAUCUCUACGGGAGGGCGAGCAUUUGGGAUAUUUGCCCAAUGCGCGGAAAGCCCUGAUGCAGCGGACCCCCGCUGAGGGAUGACGGCCUUCGGGUUUUAAACCUUUUUCCAGCAGGGAAGAAGCGAAAGGGACGGUACCUGCAGAAGAAGCCCCGGCUAACUACGUGCCAGCAGCCGCGGUAAUACGUAGGGCGCAAGCGUUGUCCGGAAUUUUUGGGGGUAAAGAGCUCGUAGGCGGCUUGUCACGUCGGUUGUGAAAGCCCGGGGCUUAACCCCGGGUCUGCAGUCGAUACGGGCAGGCUAGAGUUCGGUAGGGGAGAUCGGAAUUCCUGGUGUAGCGGUGAAAUGCGCAGAUAUCAGGAGGAACACCGGUGGCGAAGGCGGAUCUCUGGGCCGAUACUGACGCUGAGGAGCGAAAGCGUGGGGAGCGAACAGGAUUAGAUACCCUGGUAGUCCACGCCGUAAACGGUGGGCACUAGGUGUGGGCAACAUUCCACGUUGUCCGUGCCGCAGCUAACGCAUUAAGUGCCCCGCCUGGGGAGUACGGCCGCAAGGCUAAAACUCAAAGGAAUUGACGGGGGCCCGCACAAGCGGCGGAGCAUGUGGCUUAAUUCGACGCAACGCGAAGAACCUUACCAAGGCUUGACAUACACCGGAAAACCCUGGAGACAGGGUCCCCCUUGUGGUCGGUGUACAGGUGGUGCAUGGCUGUCGUCAGCUCGUGUCGUGAGAUGUUGGGUUAAGUCCCGCAACGAGCGCAACCCUUGUCCCGUGUUGCCAGCAGGCCCUUGUGGUGCUGGGGACUCACGGGAGACCGCCGGGGUCAACUCGGAGGAAGGUGGGGACGACGUCAAGUCAUCAUGCCCCUUAUGUCUUGGGCUGCACACGUGCUACAAUGGCCGGUACAAUGAGCUGCGAUACCGCGAGGUGGAGCGAAUCUCAAAAAGCCGGUCUCAGUUCGGAUUGGGGUCUGCAACUCGACCCCAUGAAGUCGGAGUCGCUAGUAAUCGCAGAUCAGCAUUGCUGCGGUGAAUACGUUCCCGGGCCUUGUACACACCGCCCGUCACGUCACGAAAGUCGGUAACACCCGAAGCCGGUGGCCCAACCCCUUGUGGGAGG